rnacentral:rRNA from 1 species
UGGGGGAUAUUGCACAAUGGGCGCAAGCCUGAUGCAGCGACGCCGCGUGGAGGAAGAAGGUUUUCGGAUUGUAAACUCCUGUCUUCAGGGACGAUAAUGACGGUACCUGAGGAGGAAGCCACGGCUAACUACGUGCCAGCAGCCGCGGUAAUACGUAGGUGGCAAGCGUUGUCCGGAAUUACUGGGUGUAAAGGGAGCGUAGGCGGGACAGCAAGUCCAGUGUGAAAUCUAUCGGCUCAACCGAUAGCUGCGCUGGAAACUGUGGUUCUUGAGUGAAGUAGAGGCAGGCGGAAUUCCUAGUGUAGCGGUGAAAUGCGUAGAUAUUAGGAGGAACACCAGUGGCGAAGGCGGCCUGCUGGACUUUUACUGACGCUGAGGCUCGAAAGUGUGGGUAGCAAACAGG